GGGCGCACGGUGGAUGCCUUGACACUAGGAGUCGAUGAAGGACGGGACUAACGCCGAUAUGCUUCGGGGAGCUGUAAGUAAGCUUUGAUCCGAAGAUUUCCGAAUGGGGAAACCCACCAUACGUAAUGGUAUGGUAUCCUUAUCUGAAUACAUAGGGUAAGGAAGACAGACCCAGGGAACUGAAACAUCUAAGUACCUGGAGGAAGAGAAAGCAAAUGCGAUUUCCUGAGUAGCGGCGAGCGAAACGGAACAUAGCCCAAACCAAGAGGCUUGCCUCUUGGGGUUGUAGGACAUUCUAUACGGAGUUACAAAGGAACGAGGUAGACGAAGCGACCUGGAAAGGUCCGUCGUAGAGGGUAACAACCCCGUAGUCGAAACUUCGUUCUCUCUUGAAUGUAUCCUGAGUACGGCGGAACACGUGAAAUUCCGUCGGAAUCUGGGAGGACCAUCUCCCAAGGCUAAAUACUCCCUAGUGAUCGAUAGUGAACCAGUACCGUGAGGGAAAGGUGAAAAGCACCCCGGAAGGGGAGUGAAAGAGAUCCUGAAACCGUGUGCCUACAAAUAGUCAGAGCCCGUUAACGGGUGAUGGCGUGCCUUUUGUAGAAUGAACCGGCGAGUUACGAUCCCGUGCGAGGUUAAGCUGAAGAGGCGGAGCCGCAGCGAAAGCGAGUCUGAAUAGGGCGUUUAGUACGUGGUCGUAGACCCGAAACCAGGUGAUCUACCCAUGUCCAGGGUGAAGUUCAGGUAACACUGAAUGGAGGCCCGAACCCACGCACGUUGAAAAGUGCGGGGAUGAGGGUGUGGGUAGCGGAGAAAUUCCAAUCGAACCUGGAGAUAGCUGGUUCUCCCCGAAAUAGCUUUAGGGCUAGCCUUAAGUGUAAGAGUCUUGGAGGUAGAGCACUGAUUGGACUAGGGGUCCUCAUCGGAUUACCGAAUUCAGUCAAACUCCGAAUGCCAAUGACUUAUCCUUAGGAGUCAGACUGCGAGUGAUAAGAUCCGUAGUCAAAAGGGAAACAGCCCAGACCGCCAGCUAAGGUCCCAAAGUGUGUAUUAAGUGGAAAAGGAUGUGGAGUUGCUUAGACAACUAGGAUGUUGGCUUAGAAGCAGCCACCAUUUAAAGAGUGCGUAAUAGCUCACUAGUCGAGUGACUCUGCGCCGAAAAUGUACCGGGGCUAAAUACACCACCGAAGCUGCGGAUUGAUACCGAAUGGUAUCAGUGGUAGGGGAGCGUUCUAAGGACAGUGAAGUCAGACCGGAAGGACUGGUGGAGUGCUUAGAAGUGAGAAUGCCGGUAUGAGUAGCGAAAGACGGGUGAGAAUCCCGUCCACCGAAUGCCUAAGGUUUCCUGAGGAAGGCUCGUCCGCUCAGGGUUAGUCAGGACCUAAGCCGAGGCCGACAGGCGUAGGCGAUGGACAACAGGUUGAUAUUCCUGUACCACCUCUUUAUCGUUUGAGCAAUGGAGGGACGCAGAAGGAUAGAAGAAGCGUGCGAUUGGUUGUGCACGUCCAAGCAGUUAGGCUGAUAAGUAGGCAAAUCCGCUUAUCGUAAAGGCUGAGCUGUGAUGGGGAAGCUCCUUAUGGAGCGAAGUCUUUGAUUCCCCGCUGCCAAGAAAAGCUUCUAGCGAGAUAAAAGGUGCCUGUACCGCAAACCGACACAGGUAGGCGAGGAGAGAAUCCUAAGGUGUGCGAGAGAACUCUGGUUAAGGAACUCGGCAAAAUGACCCCGUAACUUCGGGAGAAGGGGUGCUUUCUUAACGGAAAGCCGCAGUGAAUAGGCCCAAGCGACUGUUUAGCAAAAACACAGCUCUCUGCGAAGCCGUAAGGCGAAGUAUAGGGGGUGACACCUGCCCGGUGCUGGAAGGUUAAGGAGAGGGGUUAGCGUAAGCGAAGCUCUGAACUGAAGCCCCAGUAAACGGCGGCCGUAACUAUAACGGUCCUAAGGUAGCGAAAUUCCUUGUCGGGUAAGUUCCGACCCGCACGAAAGGUGUAACGAUUUGGGCACUGUCUCAACCAGAGACUCGGUGAAAUUAUAGUACCUGUGAAGAUGCAGGUUACCCGCGACAGGACGGAAAGACCCCGUGGAGCUUUACUGUAGCCUGAUAUUGAAUUUUGGUACAGUUUGUACAGGAUAGGCGGGAGCCUUUGAAACCGGAGCGCUAGCUUCGGUGGAGGCGCUGGUGGGAUACCGCCCUGACUGUAUUGAAAUUCUAACCUACGGGUCUUAUCGACCCGGGAGACAGUGUCAGGUGGGCAGUUUGACUGGGGCGGUCGCCUCCUAAAGUGUAACGGAGGCGCCCAAAGGUUCCCUCAGAAUGGUUGGAAAUCAUUCGUAGAGUGCAAAGGCAUAAGGGAGCUUGACUGCGAGACCUACAAGUCGAGCAGGGACGAAAGUCGGGCUUAGUGAUCCGGUGGUUCCGCAUGGAAGGGCCAUCGCUCAACGGAUAAAAGCUACCCCGGGGAUAACAGGCUUAUCUCCCCCAAGAGUCCACAUCGACGGGGAGGUUUGGCACCUCGAUGUCGGCUCAUCGCAUCCUGGGGCUGUAGUCGGUCCCAAGGGUUGGGCUGUUCGCCCAUUAAAGCGGUACGCGAGCUGGGUUCAGAACGUCGUGAGACAGUUCGGUCCCUAUCCGUCGUGGGCGUAGGAAAUUUGAGAGGAGCUGUCCUUAGUACGAGAGGACCGGGAUGGACGCACCGCUGGUGUACCAGUUGUUCUGCCAAGGGCAUAGCUGGGUAGCUAUGUGCGGAAGGGAUAAGUGCUGAAAGCAUCUAAGCAUGAAGCCCCCCUCAAGAUGAGAUUUCCCAUAGCGUAAGCUAGUAAGAUCCCUGAAAGAUGAUCAGGUUGAUAGGUUCGAGGUGGAAGCAUGGUGACAUGUGGAGCUGACGAAUACUAAUAGAUCGAGGACUUAACCAU
rnacentral:rRNA from 1 species